GCCCUUCGGGGUACACGAGUGGCGAACGGGUGAGUAACACGUGGGUGAUCUGCCCUGCACUUCGGGAUAAGCCUGGGAAACUGGGUCUAAUACCGGAUANGACCAUGGACUUCACGGUUUGUGGUGGAAAGCUUUUGCGGUGUGGGAUGGGCCCGCGGCCUAUCAGCUUGUUGGUGGGGUAAUGGCCUACCAAGGCGACGACGGGUAGCCGGCCUGAGAGGGUGUCCGGCCACACUGGGACUGAGAUACGGCCCAGACUCCUACGGGAGGCAGCAGUGGGGAAUAUUGCACAAUGGGCGCAAGCCUGAUGCAGCGACGCCGCGUGAGGGAUGACGGCCUUCGGGUUGUAAACCUCUUUCAAUAGGGACGAAGCGCAAGUGACGGUACCUAUAGAAGAAGCACCGGCCAACUACGUGCCAGCAGCCGCGGUAAUACGUAGGGUGCGAGCGUUGUCCGGAAUUACUGGGCGUAAAGAGCUCGUAGG
rnacentral:rRNA from 1 species